CUAAUGAAACACGCAAUACAUACAUUAAAAUUAAAAUGAUUCAGAGAAAUGUAACAAGUCCUCUGUACAAGAGUGACGCAGAAAAUUGAGAAGCAUUUCAUUUUUUU